rnacentral:rRNA from 1 species
UGGGUAACCUGCCUGUAAGACUGGGAUAACUCCGGGAAACCGGGGCUAAUACCGGAUGGUUGUUUGAACCGCAUGGUUCAAACAUAAAAGGUGGCUUCGGCUACCACUUACAGAUGGGCCCGCGGCGCAUUAGCUAGUUGGUGAGGUAACGGCUCACCAAGGCGACGAUGCGUAGCCGACCUGAGAGGGUGAUCGGCCACACUGGGACUGAGACACGGCCCAGACUCCUACGGGAGGCAGCAGUAGGGAAUCUUCCGCAAUGGACGAAAGUCUGACGGAGCAACGCCGCGUGAGCGAGGAAGGUCUUCGGAUUGUAAAGCUCUGUUGUUAGGGAAGAACAAGUUCCGUUCGAAGAGGGCGGUACCGUGACGGUACCUAACGAGAAAGCCACGGCUAACUACGUGCCAGCAGCCGCGGUAAUACGUAGGUGGCAAGCGUUGUCCGGAAUUAUUGGGCGUAAAGCGCGCGCAGGCGGUUCCUUAAGUCUGAGUGUGAAAGCCCACGGCUCAA